CCUACGGGAGGCAGCAGUGGGGAAUUUUGGACAAUGGGCGAAAGCCUGAUCCAGCAAUGCCGCGUGAGUGAAGAAGGCCUUCGGGUUGUAAAGCUCUUUUGUCAGGGAAGAAACGGUGGGAGCUAAUAUCUCUUGCUAAUGACGGUACCUGAAGAAUAAGCACCGGCUAACUACGUGCCAGCAGCCGCGGUAAUACGUAGGGUGCAAGCGUUAAUCGGAAUUACUGGGCGUAAAGCGUGCGCAGGCGGUUUUGUAAGUCUGAUGUGAAAUCCCCGGGCUCAACCUGGGAAUUGCAUUGGAGACUGCAAGGCUAGAAUCUGGCAGAGGGGGGUUAGAAUUCCACGUGUAGCAGUGAAAUGCGUAGAUAUGUGGAGGAACACCGAUGGCGAAGGCAGCCCCCUGGGUCAAGAUUGACGCUCAUGCACGAAAGCGUGGGGAGCAAACAGGAUUAGAUACCCUGGUAGUCCACGCCCUAAACGAUGUCUACUAGUUGUCGGGUCUUAAUUGACUUGGUAACGCAGCUAACGCGUGAAGUAGACCGCCUGGGGAAGUCGGUGCAGNUUAAACCGUAAUGAAUUGNGNGNGNGAGNGCGAGNGACAGAGGNGGAG
rnacentral:rRNA from 1 species